rnacentral:rRNA from 1 species
AGUGACGAUAGCCUAGGAGAUACACCUGUUCCCAUGCCGAACACAGCAGUUAAGCCCUAGAACGCCUGAAGUAGUUGGGGGUUGCCCCCUGUUAGAUAUGGUAGUCGCUU